rnacentral:rRNA from 1 species
CCUAACACAUGCAAGUCGAGCGGAGCGAGGGUGCUUGCACCUUAGCUUAGCGGCGGACGGGUGAGUAAUGCUUAGGAAUCUGCCUAUUAGUGGGGGACAACGUUUCGAAAGGAACGCUAAUACCGCAUACGUCCUACGGGAGAAAGCAGGGGAUCUUCGGACCUUGCGCUAAUAGAUGAGCCUAAGUCGGAUUAGCUAGUUGGUGGGGUAAAGGCCUACCAAGGCGACGAUCUGUAGCGGGUCUGAGAGGAUGGUCCGCCACACUGGGACUGAGACACGGCCCAGACUCCUACGGGAGGCAGCAGUGGGGAAUAUUGGACAAUGGGGGGAACCCUGAUCCAGCCAUGCCGCGUGUGUGAAGAAGGCCUUUUGGUUGUAAAGCACUUUAAGCGAGGAGGAGGCUUACCUAGUUAAUACCUGGGAUAAGUGGACGUACUCGCAGAAUAGCACCGGCAACUCGG